CAGGGCUACACACGUGCUACAAUGGCAUAUACAAAGAGAAGCGACCUCGCGAGAGCAAGCGGACCUCAUAAAGUAUGUCGUAGUCCGGAUUGGAGUCUGCAACUCGACUCCAUGAAGUCGGAAUCGCUARUCGUAGANCAGAAUGCUACGGUGAAUACGUUCCCGGGCCUUGUACACACCGCCCGUCACACCAUGGGAGUGGGUUGCAAAAGAAGUAGGUAGCUUAACCUUCGGGAGGGCGCUUACCACUUUGUGAUUCAUGACUGGGGUGAAGUCGUAACAAGGUAACCGUAGGGGAACCUGCGGUUGGAUCACCUCCUUACCUUAAAGAA
rnacentral:rRNA from 1 species